rnacentral:rRNA from 1 species
AGUGAACGCUGGCGGCAUGCCUAACACAUGCAAGUCGAGCGGACACACAGUAAGAUUUCUCCCUUACCGUUGGCGAGUGGCGGACGAGUGACGAAUACAUCGCCAUCUACUUUUUCGUGGGUGAUAACGUAGAGACACUGACGCUACUAGCGCAUACGACCUACGGGUUAAAUCAGUGGAUAUUCGGAGCUUUCGUGAUUGAAUUAGCCGAGGCCGGAUUAGCUAGUUGGCUGGGUAAGGGCCCACCAAGCCGACGAUCCGUAGCUGGUCUGAGAGGAUGAUCAGCCACACUGGAACUGAGACACGGUCCAGACUCCUACGGGAGGCAGCAGUGGGGAAUAUUGGGCAAUGGGCGCAAGCCUGAUCCAGCCAUACCGCGUGAGUGAAGAAGGCCUUCGGAUCGUAAAGCCCUGUUGUUGGGAAAGAAAAGAAGCAGGAUAAAACCCCGCCGUUCUGACGGUACCUAAAGAAUAAGCAACGGCUAACUUCGUG